rnacentral:rRNA from 1 species
GAUGAACGCUGGCGGCGUGCUUAACACAUGCAAGUCGAACGAAGCACUUUAUUUGAUUUCCUUCGGGACUGAUUAUUUUGUGACUGAGUGGCGGACGGGUGAGUAACGCGUGGGUAACCUGCCUUGUACAGGGGGAUAACAGUUGGAAACGGCUGCUAAUACCGCAUAAGCGCACGGCAUCGCAUGAUGCGGUGUGAAAAACUCCGGUGGUAUAAGAUGGACCCGCGUUGGAUUAGCUAGUUGGUGAGGUAACGGCCCACCAAGGCGACGAUCCAUAGCCGACCUGAGAGGGUGACCGGCCACAUUGGGACUGAGACACGGCCCAAACUCCUACGGGAGGCAGCAGUGGGGAAUAUUGCACAAUGGGCGAAAGCCUGAUGCAGCGACGCCGCGUGAGCGAAGAAGUAUUUCGGUAUGUAAAGCUCUAUCAGCAGGGAAGAUAAUGACG